rnacentral:rRNA from 1 species
UUCCCAUAGCGUAAGCUAGUAAGAUCCCUUGAAGAACACAAGGUUGAUAGGUCGGGGGUGUAAGCAUGGUAACAUGUUCAGCUGACCGAUACUAAUAGAUCGAGGGCUUGACCAA